UAAGUGUCUCCAUGAUAUUUCAUAGAAGACUUGAAACAAUUUAUUAGUUUAAAAAUUUACACAUGAAGGAUAAUUAGCAUCACCCAAUUUUAGUCACUUCCCAUGAAAGCAAGCCUCCAGAUAUCCAGAGGAUCCAGAGAUGGAAGAGGCCCCCCUUUGCCAGCUGAUAAGGAUUCUCUUACUUCAGGUGUUCUCAGUUGCCUGGUGCGGGGCCUUGCUACCUACAAAGGAAGCUCAGCUGCCUUAUGUGGAGGCUGAGACCGCAGGUGAGGCUGUUUACACCCUUCAUGAAUGCACAUCUAAAGUAUCUCAUGCUGAGCAAAUGUACCUUCCUUCCUCCAUCUCCAGUCAGAAGGUCUUCACACAUUAUUUCUCCAAUGGCAGGUUUUGAAAUUAGUCCGGCUGUUUUUUUGUUUUGUUUUCUAGAAGGUAAUGUGACUCAUUGAUACCCAAUGCAGAAAGCAGCCUAGUAAAAAGAGAGGGAGGAUGAGAUUGGUCUUUGAAGAAUACCUACAUUUUCCCCUGACAUAGCUGCCAACGGGAGUGAGGGCUUCCAUUGCCUCCCAUCAGGCAGCUUAAGAAACUUCAGGCACUUUCCAGAAAAAGGAAGUCAACAUGCAGUGUCAUUUGGAAGCACUAAACAAUUUCCAGAAAUUAGUUUAGUUCGUUAUUCUUCAGAACAUUUUAGUUUGGCUGUGAAACUUAAAACAGAAAUUUCAUUUACUGCCCCCUUCCAGUGCUUUGGUUUUAUUUUCUCUAGCACAUCGCAAAACCCUGCUGCAGACAGGACAGCUAAAGUUUUGUUCUGUUGAAGCUGGACAGUCUGGAGUGUGCUGGGAUCCGUGCUCCAUUGGGGCUCAAUGCACAGCUGUAACCUACAUCUACCAGCACAUCUCACGUCACCAUGUAAAACCCAGAAGCUCACACCUCUCAUCUUUAGAAAUAAAUGGAACCAAUUACAUAGAAUAACAUCCAGUUUUCCAGCUUGAAUUAGCACACAGAGACACAGCUCAAGAAACUAAAUGUGCAGCCAAAGAGAAAAACAAGUUGAGUGUCUGGGAUGGACAGCGUAAUGUAUAGGAGCAAUAGAAGGGCAGCAUCCCUCCUUCCCCUCCUGUUAGACAGGUUAUUCCUUAAUUUAUACAGGUACUCCUUCUAGAGUUCUGUACUCUCUGUCACUGAAAUCCAACAAACAAAACAGAUGCUCAGGUAAUGGCCCAAGCAGGCAGCCAUGCAGAGCUGCUAAGGGUUGCUAUGCUCUCUUCAGCAGGGACAGAUGGCAACACAGGACUGAUCAGAAACACAAGCCUUUAUAUUUACUUCUGAGUACCACUCAGUUCAGCUGAUUUGUAGUUAGUUCCCACCCAAAUUAGCUAGGUAUUUUGGAUGUCAUCUUUUGCUAGAAGUCACCUAAACCAGACAGCUUUACUACCAUCCCUUUCAUUCUUCCUGUUCAUUCCUUUCCGGUUCAUACUGUUUUCCCUGAUUAUCCAUACAAAUGUGUUCUAAAAGAACAUUUAUUUUGAUUUGGUUUUUUUAUCAAUUCUGUGCCAUACUUAUUCUGCUAAUAAUUUCUCAAAGAAGCAAUAUUUAGCAGAACAGACUUCAUACAGUAUGUAGCUGCUCUGUAAUGUUGUUAAAAAGACUCUACAGCUAAGACUGUUAUGCCUAAAACAAGGGUUUUCAUCACCAGCUUUCCAGUUAGCUACUACUAUUGUAAGGAAAAUGAAUUUCUUUUUUAGGUUUUCAACCGUUUCCAAAAGGAUAAUACGUGAUCCGUUAUUGCAUAUAGACGUGAUUGACUUGUUUCUCCAAUUUAGACUCCCCCUUUUUAAAAAAUAAAAGUAAUUCUUUUUAAAAGCUAUUUUCUAGGUCCUUCUUCCUGCUCUCUCUUGAAGAAAAACCUAUUUUUCAAGCAGCCUAGAUAGCAAAAGUGGUCCAAUAUUAGGACAGUUUUUUCUUAACUCUAUAUUUUCUAUAAUGUGUUCAGAUAAGUACUUAAGCCUGAAAACUCACACUGGCACUCAACUGAAACUGAAGUAGAAAGUUUUUCAGUAUGCUUUUCAAAUGUUGUUUUAAGCUGGAAGCAUGACUACAAUGUUUUUUUUGGCGUAGCCUGUUGCCUUUGAAAUACACUGACCACUAUUCUCGAUAUGUUCGUGCUUUCCUUGCAUUUCAUUUUAAUGAGAUGUGUCUCUUGGGAACACAUGGUGAGAACCUUUUCAAAGAGUGGCUCUGUCAUCGAGCUAUAGCAUCUCUCCACUGCUAAAUAUGCGACAUAUAUUUCUGUGAGGUGUUCAUUUAUGUGAGGUCUAAAGAUUUCCAAAGACAGAAGCGAGUACCACAGACUUUGACAACAGAUAUACCAUUCAGUGACAGUCCCAGAAAAUACUGAAAUUUCUUUUGUUCCAGGGGAGUCAAGUAAGCAGGCUUUGGUUCUAUUCAAAUAAUGUAAAAACCUGCUUGGAACUGCCUCACUGAAUUCAAUACUUAAUCUUUUCAUCAGGAACUGUAUCAGAAAUACUCCAAGAGCCAACAUUCUGGUGUAACAAAAUUCUGCAAAAAAGCAGUUUUACCACUAUAGUAAAUGGUUGACAACAGAUAUAGGGAAAUGGAAGGGGAAGGAGAGAAGAACAAAAGAGGAAAACGUAGUUGAUAGUGACAACCAUAACUGAUCAGAAAACAAUUACAAUAUCAGAAGUUAUGAAAUUUAACUUUAAAAUGCUGUCCUCUAACUUACCAAUCUCGUGGUUUUGAAGCCAGCAUCAGACUGCUGACCUUCCAGUGGUUGGGCUGCCUGCAUGGAAAAGCUCUCAUCACUUACAAAUGGAGAGCAGUCCAGACAAUGCGUUGGUCAAAUACAGCAGUAAGAACUACUCUGGGGCUCUUUAAAACUUAAAUGUAUUCAUGGAUACUCGUCAAAAGGAGUGAAAAGAGCUAUGUAGGUUUUUUCGGAGCAAAUAGUUACAUUCACCCUCACAAAUUCUUUCAGCUGCUGAUACACAGUCAUGGCUAAAGACCUUCUAAUGUCUCAAAAAAAUUAAAAAUAAAAUCACUGGCAGGAAAUUAAAACCUUGACAGGAAAGCUCCAGCACAUUCAGUGGAUGUGAUGGUAACACCAUGCACGCAGCUCUCUGGCAGCUAAGGUCCAAAACUUCCGUUGACCAAUCUGGCAUUAAUCCAUGAUAUUUAAGGUUCUCCUGAUUUGCUUCACGUAAAGUCUUCUGUUCUUUAAGUCUUUCUCUUCCUGAAAAGUAAAAAUUAAACAUUUGUUAAGAAUCUUGCCCACGUGGUACCUGUCAGUAAACUCAUACACUUACACAUAGCACUGGAAAAAGGAUAAACAUGCCUAGCCUUUUGCUGGGAAUGCAGAAGCAUUGCUUCUACAUUUUAGAGU
ensembl:lncRNA